rnacentral:lncRNA from 1 species
GGAGUGAAAAUUUACAUUUUUAAUAGAAAAGAGAGUUGGAGAUUGGCUAUUCAACACCCCUUUAAUCAAGUGGGAAUAAGCCGAUAGGUAGCAACCACAACUCCACUAUCUAGAUCCAAAUCACUAACUAAGAUCAAGGAUCUAUAGUAAUUCUAAGCUUGAAUCUGAUUUUAAGGCUAGAAAUAUUUAUAACUCAAAAAUUAAUACCUUUUUAGUAAGACUAAUAUCAUCAAUGUAUUCAAAAUAUAUUUCUAUUUUG